rnacentral:lncRNA from 10 species
UCUGGAGGAGAUGUUGGCUCCCCUGGGAAUCACUUUGCAGCACAUCCCCUCCAGAGACCAGCUACAGACAUCAGGCGCCAGGAUAGAAGAGUCGCUCUGUGUAGACGGUGGACCAGGAAUAAGGUUGCCUCAAAAAAAUAAUAGCUGACAUCCGCCCCACCCUCCACUCUUCAAUCAAGCCAGUCAGGCAAUGAACCUUUUCACACCUGAGGGAUUAUUUUUGCUUUUGUCUGAUUCUGCUGUGUUAAAGGAAACAAGUGUUGAGAAAGCUGGAAGCAAAUCUGUGUUUUUUGUGAUCGAUUCAAACCACAGAUAGAGCAGGGGAUUGUCUUUCGGUAGGUGUGAAUGGGGCUGUAUUAGUCACCAGAGUUUCAAGUGUGCUUCUGUUUAGUUAUCAAACUGCAAUUCCAUUGAUACCCCGUCUUGAGUGUCUCCUCUGUGAGUAACAUGAAAAGGACCUCUGGUUAAAUAGAAAACUUGUCUUGAAUUUGGAAUUACAACAUGCCCUUACUUAUUCAGGACUCAAUUAACUGAGCUUCAGGAUAAUCCAAGGUGAAGAAAAACAAGAGCUGACAAAGAAAAGAAAUGGGUGAGUCAAGACAGGCACUGGGGUCUCUUCCCACAGACCUUGGGUGGGUUCAAUGGAACCUUGAGGCCUGGGUUUAACUGGGCCUAACCCCACCCCAGGGAUGUAUGGGGGUUAAAGGGAUUAAUACUAACCUACUGACUGGUUGGAAGGGCCUGGGAGUCUGGGAAAUUAGUGGGAAAAACAAAACAGAAGGUACUUAGAGUCCCAAUCAAGACAGCAACUUUUAAUACUGAUUUCUUAAUGGCAAUUCACAGCCUUGACCUAACCAGUUCCUUAAUCCUGCUCCAGUAUACAAGCAAGUUCUACAGUGUUUGUUCCUUAAUAGCUCUUUCUGAUUAUCUAGCAUUUUGAUUCAUUUGCUGACCUUCAGAUAUUUAUUGUUGUCCUGGUUGUUUAAAGGGCACUUUAUUUAGGUAUCUUAAUUGGCCUCUUCCAGGUGUUUUCAGCUUAAACAUUCAGGUCUAUUUUUUGUCACUCCUCCUGGUGGCCCACCAGGGUAAGAUAGAUUUGGGGCAACUAAGGGGGAAAGGAUAAGCUCUGGGGCCAGACAGAUCUGCACUAGCCAGCUACAUGACCUCAGAGUUCUUUAACUUCUCUGAACCCCAGUUUCCUAUUCUGUAAGGCAAAGUGAUUUAGGGUCAGGUUGCCUGAUUUUUAUUUAUUUACUUAUUUAUUUAGAGACAGAG